ACUCCUACGGGAGGCAGCAGUGGGGAAUAUUGCACAAUGGGCGCAAGCCUGAUGCAGCCAUGCCGCGUGUGUGAAGAAGGCCUUCGGGUUGUAAAGCACUUUCAGUCGUGAGGAAGGUAGUGUAGUUAAUAGCUGCAUUAUUUGUACGUUAGCGACAGAAGAAGCACCGGCUAACUCCGUGCCAGCAGCCGCGGUAAGUACGGAGGGUGCGAGCGUUAAUCGGAAUUACUGGGCGUAAAGCGCAUGCAGGUGGUUGUUAAGUCAGAUGUGAAAGCCCGGGGCUCAACCUCGGAAUAGCAUUUGAAACUGGCAGACUAGAGUACUGUAGAGGGGGUAGAAUUUCAGGUGUAGCGGUGAAAUGCGUAGAGAUCUGAAGGAUACCGGUGGCGAAGCGGCCCCUGGACAGAUACUGACACUCAGAUGCGAAAGCGUGGGAGCAAACAGGAUUAGAUACCCCUGGUAGACUGUCA
rnacentral:rRNA from 1 species